AGGAGCGUUUGUUAGAAAAUGCCUUUACGCGCGCUGUCUGAGCAGCUUGUCAUUCUAACAAGUGCGAGCCGUCAAACAACAACAAACGCCUCUGGCACAUCCUUUCCCCUGUUAGACAGGACAUUUAUGUCUGGCUGCCUGUCCUGCCAUUCGGGACCUGCAACACACCGUUGUCACAGACACACACGCGACAAGGCUCCGGUUUCCAGAUGUCGUUGUGUUGGUAGACGGUCUCAUCGACCGUGCAGCUUUCCCCUUUCUUCUCAUCAGCAGCUGUGACCAAGGACAGAAAAAGAAACAGUCUUACAGUCUUGGAAGAUGUCUAAUCUUCCAACACGAGCAGCGGUAGAUCCUGGCCUGCACAGACCGAAACUCCCUCAUCAUGCUCUAAGAAAAGCCCCGUAAUGAUGUGUCACACCAACUGAAGGGAAACUGCGGGAGGUCACGGCCAUCACCUGAGCCAAAGUGAUGACCAGGCAGAUGGUAAUCCUAGAGCGCCACGAGAGGUCCAUGUCUGCCCCCCCAGAGACGCAGCGUCCUCACACACAGCCGCCGCGAGACCGACAAGGACGUCAGAGACAGCAACCCUGAGCUACAGCAUCCAGACCGAAAAAUCCAAAUAUCCCUGAGAGGAACAGGCUCCUGGAUGAGCGAUUACCACAAACUGAAACAAGCUCUCCCUCUUUACAUCCCCUCCUCCUCUCACUCUCCUCCUCCUCUGUCAUCAUUUUUUUUUCUUGCUUUAUUUCAAAGCCAACCUCCUCCUCGGGCUCUCACAGUCGCCUUGACAGAUGCAGCUAAUUAGAGGCUGCAUUAAACUCGUCCAACCCAAAAGACUUAUGAAAGAAGAUGGGCAGGAUGAUGCUGUUGGGAAAAAAACAAAAAGACUUCUAUAAGCUCAGGUUGAGCGUUUGUUUUCAGGAUCUAGAUGUGCAGGAUUCACAGUUUGCUGCAUGACCUUUCACCUCGACCACUUUGUGGUUCAAGAAUAACGUCUGCUUGACUGAAAACAGUAGCCUCCUUUUCCCCACUGUUUGAUUCCUGCAGUGUAUGAUAUGAUUGAUGAAAAAUGUCUGAGGAGGAGAUAUAUUCCACCUCACUUUUUCUUUAUCUUCAGCUCAUAUCCUCUGUCUGCUGCUUUCUAUUUAUGUUAAUGAAUUCUUGGUAUGAGUACCAAAGUUGUACCUAAAAUAGUGUUUUAUAAAUCAAGCAACCUUCACUUGCUUCAUUCUUCUGUCUACCUGAAGUUCGACUUUGCUGACCUAAAUCUGUGAACUCCAGCUUGAACACUUUACAAUGUGCAUGUUGCAUUCACCUGAUGUGUUUUCCAGGGCAAAGCUCAGCCAAGUCGGUCCCUGAGGUGAUGUCCCGGAGGCAGAGGACAAAGCAAACAGCAGACUUCUUUACUGUUGUUUCCACACAGAACACUGUAUUCGAAACAAGCAGUUUUGAGUUAUCAGAGCCACCAUAAAGUCACAUUCCUGUCAGUGGAUGACUGGAUUUCACUUGUUUCCCUUGCUAAACAACUCGGGCCAGGAAGUGUUCAAGGUGCUUGAAGGACAGACUGUUUUCCCAUUAACGAGUCAGAGAGCGGGCCAGAGCCAUCGGGGACGAUAACCGAAGCAGAUGAGCUGGUCUGGUCAUGGCUCCCAUUGACUAAAUGCUCCAUCUUUUUGCACCUGAUAAUGUGUCACAGCUGCACUGCAACAACUGACUGCAUCGGCCCACAGCCAUCUUUGAACUGAUCUGUAAAAACUGGCAGCAUCCGUGAGCUGCAUGUUGAAAGGUUUUGUGCAGACCUCCUUUGCUUUUUUUCAUCUAAAUGGCUCACAAAAUGCAUCGUUUGUAAAAACUUUUUAUGGCAUUACGAGCUCCCACAGUUCAUUUUUAAAAGGGUUGAAAUGCUCAAAAUUCACCAAAUUUACACGAAACUCACUGUUUUUAUUUAAUAUUCUCACCAGGUGAUUCCAGCAGCUGCAGGUACUUUGGUUAACUGAGGUUCAGAUAAACUGAAAGAGGCAUUUUUACACUCACGUGCAUGUUUAAAAUGCAGUAUGGUGAUUUUUUUUUAUCCUUAAAUGAUGCUUCUUUUGGCCAAGAAGUAAAGAUUACAGAGAAUGUGAUGUACAGAAAGCUGAAACUGACCUCAGCUCCUGUGGUAAGAAAGUUUAUUCCAUGUGGUGUUUAAAGCCCUCCGACAUGCAAGCUAUUUCUGGAUGUAUAGACUAGACAGCAGCAGGAGACCAGCCCACGAGUGUGCAUGCAGGACACACACACACACACACACACACACUGAGUCGAGGCCACCAGUCAGAAAGGUGGACAUUAUCCAAACUAAAAAAAUAGAAAGCUGCAGUGAAAAAACAUUAGAUCUUACAAAAACCGCAGAGACGUCCCUAAAAAAAAAUAACCCAGAUCACUUUUCAGGAUUUCAAAGAAAAGCUUGUGGCCAAAGCAGAUGUAUCACAUCGAGUCAACAUGAAUGUACUGUGUAGGAUUUAUUUCAAGCUUUAGUCAGCAGUUGGAAAUAAGU